rnacentral:rRNA from 1 species
CUGCUUGCAUCAUGAUUUACAUUUGAGUGAGUGGCGAACUGGUGAGUAACACGUGGGAAACCUGCCCAGAAGCGGGGGAUAACACCUGGAAACAGAUGCUAAUACCGCAUAACAACUUGGACCGCAUGGUCCGAGCUUGAAAGAUGGCUUCGGCUAUCACUUUUGGAUGGUCCCGCGGCGUAUUAGCUAGAUGGUGGGGUAAUGGCUCACCAUGGCAAUGAUACGUAGCCGACCUGAGAGGGUAAUCGGCCACAUUGGGACUGAGACACGGCCCAAACUCCUACGGGAGGCAGCAGUAGGGAAUCUUCCACAAUGGACGAAAGUCUGAUGGAGCAACGCCGCGUGAGUGAAGAAGGGUUUCGGCUCGUAAAACUCUGUUGUUAAAGAAGAACAUAUCUGAGAGUAACUGUUCAGGUAUUGACGGUAUUUAACCAGAAAGCCACGGCUAACUACGUGCCAGCAGCCGCGGUAAUACGUAGGUGGCAAGCGUUGUCCGGAUUUAUUGGGCGUAAAGCGAGCGCAGGCGGUUUUUUAAGUCUGAUGUGAAAGCCUUCGGCUCAACCGAAGAAGUGCAUCGGAAACUGGGAAACUUGAGUGCAGAAGAGGACAGUGGAACUCCAUGUGUAGCGGUGAAAUGCGUAGAUAUAUGGAAGAACACCAGUGGCGAAGGCGGCUGUCUGGUCUGUAACUGACGCUGAGGCUCGAAAGUAUGGGUAGCAAACAGGAUUAGAUACCCUGGUAGUCCAUACCGUAAACGAUGAAUGCUAAGUGUUGGAGGGUUUCCGCCCUUCAGUGCUGCAGCUAACGCAUUAAGCAUUCCGCCUGGGGAGUACGGCCGCAAGGCUGAAACUCAAAGGAAUUGACGGGGGCCCGCACAAGCGGUGGAGCAUGUGGUUUAAUUCGAAGCUACGCGAAGAACCUUACCAGGUCUUGACAUACUAUGCAAAUCUAAGAGAUUAGACGUUCCCUUCGGGGACAUGGAUACAGGUGGUGCAUGGUUGUCGUCAGCUCGUGUCGUGAGAUGUUGGGUUAAGUCCCGCAACGAGCGCAACCCUUAUUAUCAGUUGCCAGCAUUAAGUUGGGCACUCUGGUGAGACUGCCGGUGACAAACCGGAGGAAGGUGGGGAUGACGUCAAAUCAUCAUGCCCCUUAUGACCUGGGCUACACACGUGCUACAAUGGAUGGUACAACGAGUUGCGAACUCGCGAGAGUAAGCUAAUCUCUUAAAGCCAUUCUCAGUUCGGAUUGUAGGCUGCAACUCGCCUACAUGAAGUCGGAAUCGCUAGUAAUCGCGGAUCAGCAUGCCGCGGUGAAUACGUUCCCGGGCCUUGUACACACCGCCCGA